rnacentral:rRNA from 1 species
GUAAGCGGUGGAAAAGAAACCAAAUGGGAUUCCCCUAGUAAUGGCGAAUGAACAGGGAUCAGCUCAAAUUGGGAAUCGCUGCUUCUGCAGUGAAUUGUAGUCUGCAAGAAUUCACCAGCGAGAACGCUUAAGUAAGUCUCUUGGGACAGAGCUUCGUGGAGGGUGAGAUGCCCGUCUGCCUUGAGCUUCUUCUCGUAUACGGUGUUUUCUUUACGAGUCGCGUUCCUCGGGAUUGGAGCGCUAAUUAGGAGGUAAAUUUCUCCUAAAGCUAAAUAUUGAACCGAGACCGAUAGUAAACAAGUACCGUGAGGGAAAGGUGAAAAGGACUUUGGAAAGAGAGUUAAAAGUGCCUGAAAUCGUUGAAAUGUAAGCGAAUGGAACUAGUUCCAUUAAUUGAGAUUGCAUUUAAAAGUAAGUUAAGCCUUUGGAUGCGUGUCGUAAGUACGUACCAGGGUGCUAUAGUUUGCUGCUAAGUGCGCUACUCAGUUAAGGAUGCCAGCAUCUAUGUGAAUUUUGAGGGAAAGGUAAUGUGGAUUUAGCAUUCCUUCGGGUUCGCUAUACAUGUUGCAAAUAUCAAAGUUCAUAUAGAGGAAUAUAUUGCGUAUAUUAACGUGCGAAAUGUCAUCAUGUCAUGUAGUGUCGAAGGUCUGGUCUACUGCUUGCAGUGUACUUUUCUUAGAUGUUAUAUGG